AGCACACGCACCAAAUGGCUGAACCGCAGGUUCAGACAUCGUGUGCUUGGCUGAGGAGCCACUGGUGCGAAGCUACCAUCUGUGGGAUUAUGACUGAACGCCUGC